rnacentral:misc_RNA from 1 species
GAAAUGCGAUAAGUAAUGUGAAUUGCAGAAUUCAGUGAAUCAUCGAAUCUUUGAACGCACCUUGCGCUCCUUGGUAUUCCUUGGAGCAUGCCUGUUUGAGUAUCAUGAAAUCUUCAAAGUAAAUCUUUUGUUAACUCAAUUGGUUUCUACUUUGGUAUUGGAGGUCUUUGCAGCUUCACACCUGCUCCUCUUUGUUCAUUAGCUGGAUCUCAGUGUUAUGCUUGGUUCCACUCGGCGUGAUAAGUUAUCUAUCGCUGAGGACACUGUAAAAGGUGGCCAAGGUAAAUGCAGAUGAGCCGCUUCUAAUAGUCCAUUGACUUGGACAAUACUUUUAUGAUCUGAUCUCAAAUCAGGUAGGACUACCCGCUGGACUUAAGC